rnacentral:rRNA from 1 species
UACAGAGGGUGCGAGCGUUAAUCGGAAUCACUGGGCUUAAAGGGUCCGUAGGUUGGACUGCAGGCGUCGAGUGAAAUACCACGGCUCAACCGUGGAACUGCUCGGCGAACCGCAGUUCUUGAGGCGAGUAGAGGCGAUCAGAACGAUAGGUGGAGCGGUGAAAUGCGUAGAUAUCUAUCGGAAUGCCAAAGGUGAAGACAGGUCGCUGGGCUCUGACUGACACUGAGGAGCGAAAGCGUGGUGAGCAAGCGGGAUUAGAUACCCCGGUGGUCCACGCCGUAAACAAUGCGCACUGGGUCGGGGAGGUUUGACGCCCUCCUGGCCGAAGCAAAAGUGUUAAGUGCGCCGCCUGGGGAGUACGGUCGCAAGGCUA